rnacentral:rRNA from 1 species
CCAGAUUCUUACGGGAGGCAGCAGUGGGGAAUAUUGCACAAUGGGCGCAAGCCUUGAUGCAGCGACCCCGGGUGAGGGAAGACGGCCUUUCGGGUUGUAAACCUCUUUCAGUAGGGAAGAAGCGAAAGUGACGGUACCUGCAGAAGAAGCGCCGGCUAACUACGUGCCAGCAGCCGCGGUAAUACGUAGGGCGCGAGCGUUAUCCGGAAUUAUUGGGCGUAAAGAGCUCGUAGGCGGUUUGUCGCGUCUGCCGUGAAAGUCCGGGGCUUAACCCCGGAUCUGCGGUGGGUACGGGCAGACUGGAGUGCAGUAGGGGAGACUGGAAUUCCUGGUGUAGCGGUGAAAUGCGCAGAUAUCAGGAGGAACACCGAUGGCGAAGGCAGGUCUCUGGGCUGUUACUGACGCUGAGGAGCGAAAGCAUGGGGAGCGAACAGGAUUAGAUACCCUGGUAGUCCAUGCCGUAAACGUUGGGCACUAGGUGUGGGGGCCAUUCCACGGUUUCCGCGCCGCAGCUAACGCAUUAAGUGCCCCGCCUGGGGAGUACGGCCGCAAGGCUAAAACUCAAAGGAAUUGACGGGGGCCCGCACAAGCGGCGGAGCAUGCGGAUUAAUUCGAUGCAACGCGAAGAACCUUACCAAGGCUUGACAUGUUCCCGACCGCCACAGAGAUGUGGUUUCCCCUUUGGGGCGGGUUCACAGGUGGUGCAUGGUUGUCGUCAGCUCGUGUCGUGAGAUGUUGGGUUAAGUCCCGCAACGAGCGCAACCCUCGUUCCAUGUUGCCAGCGGGUUAUGCCGGGGACUCAUGGGAGACUGCCGGGGUCAACUCGGAGGAAGGUGGGGACGACGUCAAAUCAUCAUGCCCCUUAUGUCUUGGGCUUCACGCAUGCUACAAUGGCCGGUACAAUGGGUUGCGAUACUGUGAGGUGGAGCCAAUCCCAAAAAGCCGGUCUCAGUUCGGAUUGGGGUCUGCAACUCGACCCCAUGAAGUCGGAGUCGCUAGUAAUCGCAGAUCAGCAACGCUGCGGUGAAUACGUUCCCGGGCCUUGUACACACCGCCCGUCAAGUCACGAAAGUCGGUAACACCCGAAGCCGGUGGCCCAACCCUUGGGGGGAGCCGUCGAAGGUGACCGAAGUCCU